UACGGAGGGGGCUAGCGUUGUUCGGAAUUACUGGGCGUAAAGCGCACGUAGGCGGCUUUGUAAGUUAGAGGUGAAAGCCCGGGGCUCAACUCCGGAAUUGCCUUUAAGACUGCAUCGCUAGAAUUGUGGAGAGGUAAGUGGAAUUCCGAGUGUAGAGGUGAAAUGCGUAGAUAUCGGGAGGAACACCAGUGGCGAAGGCGGCUCUCUGGACCACUACUGACGCUGAGGCGCGAAAGCUAGGGGAGCAAACAGG
rnacentral:rRNA from 1 species